rnacentral:lncRNA from 10 species
CAGACCCACAUUCCCAUAGGCACUGGGUACUCCCUGCUACCAACCCUGAACCCCCGGCAGUUGUCCCUGAGGUCUGGGGAGUAGCAGAACCCAGUGUAGAAGCCAGCAGACCCAGUGAUGCCCUUGGAGACCCUCUGCUGCCUUCCCUUAUUCUCUGUGGGUUUUGAGAGGUUCGUUUGCUGCCAUUUCCCUGAAAGUGAUGGAGAGAGAGAAGAGAGAGUGGUUAUUCCAUGGGCAGAACAGUUGCUGAAAUUGGCUCUCCCAAGCUCCUUCUUGGGGGCUGAGCUAGGCUCAGUAAGGUCACAUAACAAUCUAGACCUCUCUGCUGGUCUCCCACAGCCCACCCUGGGCCCAGCACCUUCUCCCUGCAGACUCAUUCUUCUUCCUGGUUCUCCAUGUUAGUACGGCAUUGCCAUCCUUCUCUAGUUUUUUUAUUCUUUUUAUUUAUUACUAUUGUUAUUACUUUUCUUUUUUUGAGACGGAGUUUCACUCUUGUUGCCCAGGUUGGGGUGCAAUGGCAAGAUCUCAGCUCACUGCAGCCUCCACCUCCCGGGUUCAAGCAAUUUUCCUGCCUCAGCCUCCCAAGUAGCUGGGAUUACAGGCGCCCGCCACCACACCCAGCUAGUUUUUGUAUUUUUAGUGAAGACGGGGUUUCGCCAUGUUGGCCAGGCUGGUCUCAAACUCCUGGCCUCAGGUGAUCUACCCUCCUCAGUCUCCCAAAGUGCUAGGAACAGGCGUGAGCCACCAUGCCCGGCCUGUUAUUUUUUUUGAGACAGAGUCUCACUCUGAUGCCCAGUCUGGAGUGCAGUGGCGUGAUCUGGGCUCACUGCAACCUCUGCCUCCUGGGUUCAAGUGAUUCUCAUGCCUCAGCCUCCCGAGUAGCUGGGAUUACAGGCGUAUGCCACCAUGCCCAGCUAAUUUUUUCUAUUUUUAGUAAAGACGGGGUUUCCCUAUGUUGGCCAGGCUAGUCUCAAACUCCUGACCUCAAGUGAUCCGCCCAUCUCAGCCUCCCAAAGUGCUGGGAUUACAGGCAUGAGCCAUGGGGCCUGGCCUCUUCUCUAAGACAGAAACCUGGGCAGUGGCAGCCUUUCUAACCUCUAGCCCUAACUCUUGGACCCCUUUAUCUACUUGCCAUGAAGUAGGCAUUUAUAAAGGCAAAUUAGAUCAGACCACAGCCUUGCUGAGUUAGUCUUUCAAUGGCUCCCAGGGUCCAACAAGCUCUCACGUUCAAGCUCCAGCAUCACAGUCUUACCUAUUCUAAUAUGUCACCCGUAUUCUUCCCUCUUAGCCUUGCUCAAUCCAUUCCCUUUGCUUGGUACACUUUGUCACCCUGUGGCAUUUGAUCUCGGCUUAGGUGUCUUUCUUGGGAGAAGCCUUCCCUGACCACCCUUGCCCCAUGCACUGCCGCCCUCCCCUAAUAAAUCCCUGGCUCCCCAUGAGCAGGGCCCGGGUUGUCUUUGUUCUCUGGGCCUCGUGUGGCCCCUAUCACGUGAUAGGGGCCCAGAGAUUAUCUGAAUGAAUGCCCUGAUUAGUGAGCGCAUGUUUUGCAGAAGAGGAGGCUGACCCUGAUGAGGUCAAUGUGCUCAGGACAGAGAUUACUGCCUUCCCAACUGAGGGGAUUGUGCAGAGUGGAA